AAUAAUGCAAAAGCAAUAUUUGGAUUUUCCCUCGCCGGGAUUCGAAGUGGAACCACAUUUGAAUGAGCGCGCUUAGUUAGUGAAACGCACCGUUUCACUUAACUGAUGUGGCACUGCAAAGCGCUCAUGGCCAAUCAAAUUGCCACGCACAUGACACUUGGACCAGUACAUGUCCAGAAACAUAAACAAACAUGCAAAACACGCCAGGCAAGAUCAAACAUAGUUUCUGGAAAAAUAUUUCAACAUCUUCAAGCGCAUUCAUCAUGUUCAUACAAGCCAAG
rnacentral:lncRNA from 1 species